rnacentral:tRNA from 2 species
GAAAAAAUAGUUUAAGCUAAAAUGUUGUUUUUGUAAAACAUAGAUUGAUGUAUUACAUCUUUUUUCU